rnacentral:rRNA from 1 species
CCUACGGGAGGCAGCAGUGGGGAAUAUUGCACAAUGGGGGAAACCCUGAUGCAGCAACGCCGCGUGAGUGAAGAAGUAUUUCGGUAUGGAAAGCUCUUACAGCAGGGAAGAGACUGCCGGUACCUGACUAAGAAGCCGCGGCUAACUACGUGCCAGCAGCCGCGGUAAUACGUAGGGGGCCAGCGUUAUCCGGAUUUACUGGGGGUAAAGGGGGCGUAGACGGCUGUACAAGUCUGAAGGGAAAGCCCGUGGCUCAACCGCGGAACUGCUUUGGAAACUGGAAAGCUUGAGUACUGGAGAGGCAGGCGGAAUGCCUAGUGUAGCGGUGAAAUGCGUAGAUAUUAGGAGGAACACCAGUGGCGAAGGCGGCCUGCUGGACCGAAACUGACGUUGAGGCGCGAAAGCGUGGGGAGCAAACAGGAUUAGAUACCCUGGUAGUC